UAUUACUUUCAGUUAGGUUAUUUCCACAGCCAGGCACAGGCAGACGGAUCUUUCCAUUCUCUAUUUUAUUUUAGGACGAAUAAUUCCCAAUUACACCAAAUAUGAAGUCUAUUCUGUCAAUCGUUGUACUUGGGCUCAUUUACAGCGCUGUGGAGGCCAAAGAAUCUCCCCCCAAGGUGCAGGUGUACAGCCGUAACCCUGGCAACUUUGGCGAUAAGAACACCCUGAUCUGUCACGUGAGUGGCUUCCACCCCCCUGACAUCAGCAUCCAGCUCCUGAAGAACGGCGUGGAGAUCCCCGACGCCAAGCAGACAGACCUGGCCUUCGAACAGGGAUGGCAGUUCCACCUCACCAAGAGUGUUGGAUUCACACCAGCCAGCGGAGAGGAGUACACCUGCAGAGUCCGUCACCUGAAGAAUCUGAAGACCUACACCUGGGGUGAGUUACUAGUGUAGUUAGAGGAGUACACCUGUAGAGUCCGCCACCUGAAGAAUCUGAAGACCUACACCUGGGAGGCAGAUAUGUAAGGAUCUGGAGCAGGACAUAAUGGCGGACAUUCCAUCUGUGGUUCGUCCAAUCCGUGCCAGCCUUUAACUAGAGCUGAGAUGACAAACUUGGGCUUUUGAUUUCAUUUUUUGGUAACACGGUGCCAGUUUCAAGGGUUUUGAAUCGACAAUCAUUACUAAAACACUUACACACAAAAUUGUUAAGAUUUUUUUUUUGGGGGGGGCAAGAUAUUUUUAAUUGACAAAUGGCACAGCUUCUGAUGAACAUUCUCAAUCAAAGUCACUUCUUUCAAAACAAUGAAGGCUUUUAUCAAGUAUUUUAUUUUUAGAUUUAAAAAAAAAAAAAAACUUUAAUUUCCUUGAAAUUGGUACCAUUAGAUUUGAACACUUUUUCUCAUAAUUAAACAAUAAAUAAACUCCAUAACUUGCACUAUUUGACUGUGGUUUUAGCUAUAAGCAACAGUGUGUAAUGUAAAGUCUGAUAUUUGAUCAGCAUUUAAAUUUUUAAGCCCAAAUUAUUUCAGAGGAAGCCCAUGUGAUAUGCAUUUGUGUGACCUGUAAAUAUCAACGUUCAUUUUGGUUUGAAGUCAUUUAUCAAUAUAACAUCAUCUUCUGUCUAUCCUUCAACAUUCCUGUAAAUGACCAAUUAUCAACAGUAAUAAAUGGGGUCUUUUUACAGGCACAUUUUGCCAAGUAGAGAACUGUAUUUUCAUUACUUUAAAAAAAAAGAUAUGUUCUGUCUUUCGGUGUAUUAUACAACACUGUUCAGUUUCAUUAAAUAAAUAAAUGGUAAACUAUU